GACUGGUCUGAAGGCAGUGAGUAAUCUCAAUUUAUUGCUCAGAGUGAGUUACAGAUUGAACUCCUUGUACUCUUUCAUCUCUCCUCACUGUUGUACUUGUCUUGUAAA
rnacentral:Y_RNA from 1 species